CGCGGUUACACUUUUUAUCUCACGUUAAUGUGUUCGUAAAUUUAAGUUAGCGUAAUAAUUGUAAAUGCCGAAACCAUUAUAUGAGUGAGGUAAAAUUCUAUUCAUUUAUUGGGAAUAUGGAGACUAUUUUAAAAUUUAACCUAAUAAGGCUGUGUGAAGAAACGGGGAUUAGAGACCCCCUUAUUCAUGCUCUCUUUAAUUUUACGGGGACUACGAGCACGUAAUGCUUAAAACCCAAUCAAGUUGGCGGUGCUUCAUAUAUAGUUAGGGGAACUUGACGGUUAAAUCGAUGAGCCUCGAAAAUCUUACCCUUAGUAUUCUUUGCAUACCGCCGUUGUAGGCAGUUCCUGACGAGUAAGAGUCUGGCGAAAUAUAGGAUAACCUUAUGGUUAUAUUUAUAGAUAUUCAGGUAAACGUGUAGGUUCUAGGGGGCUUAGUUGAGUUACAAUUUUUUAUAAAUGCGGAUAUUAAAUGAAAAAAUAAUUGAAGAUGUACUUGUUAGUAAGAUUUUAGAUAGAGGAAAUCUGAAUAGAGUUUUGAAGUGCGUACAAAUCGCCCGGCGCCCUCGGAUAAUCAAACUGAGGUAAGUCGUAAC
rnacentral:rRNA from 1 species